UCGUGCAUUUAUUGUCAAUAAACCAUGAUUCUCCACAUGGUAUUAGACCCCAUGGUCACAAUUUUUGUGCUUAAUCGCUUCCGUUGUUUUCAAUUUUAGUUCCCAUCGAUUUUGGUUUCCCCCAAUCCUAAAACCCUAGCCCCAAUCCUCUCGUUGUCAUGCCUAAUCUUGUUCAAUUAAAGUUGAGAAACCCCAAAUUGGAUCAUCGCGUUAGGCUUCCUUUUUUGAUUGUUGCAGUCUGCGUCGUGCUUUGCUUUGGUUCUCUUUAUCUCAGAUUUUGGGGUUCUGCCAUCAGCUUUCUUCACCAGCCAUCCUUUGCCUCCAGCGUGACCCUUCUCAAGCCUGCAAUCGUGUUCCACGCGAUAAAAUCAUGGCUAUUGUUCUUCAUAUAUGAUCGAUUUUGCCUGCAAUUGUCCCUUAUUACCCAGAUUGUCUGGUGAGACUGUUUUGAUUAUGUUGUCUGAUGGGCUCUGGUGUUAUAAUAUUGGGUGCUCUGAAAUAUGGUGCUGCUUGGGUGAUGAGCUUUGGUGUUAUAAGGCUGGUAUGCUUUGAUUAUUGAGAUUUCAGUGAUGUUCAUAUGGUGCUUCAAGAUAUCGAUGUGUGCCAGUCUUCCCCAUUUUCAUUUGUGCUUUAAGCCUUUGUUUUGUUUUUUGUUGUCCAAUUACAUAAUCUCAUCUUCAUUUUCCUCUUUGCUUUACCUUCAAUUAUCCUCUAUGCAAUUAUUAGAUAGAACAAAAACAUUAUCAAAAUAUGUUCAAUUACCUUCGGAAACAAAACAAAAAACAUUUUCAAUCAUGUAUAAUUACCAAGUUUCUUCUUGUCUUCCUUCUGCUUUUCCUUUCUAGGUUUUCUUUACCUUCUCUUUCAUUUCAUAAUCAAUUACAAGUUGAAUUACCAGAUGAACCAAUUUAUGAACAUUACCAGUACAAUUACCAAUGAAUCAACUUUUGUCCAAUUACUAAUUAAUCAAAUUCUGUCCAAUUACCAAUCGAUCUUCUUUUGCUUCAUUUUUCCUCUUCUUUGCUAUUUUCUUAUGGGCUAAGGUUGUGGGCAUAGCAUUCAAGUUAGAACCGUUACUUAACUCAUCUUUGUUGGUUAUGGAAUUAAAUGAAAAGGCACCGUUGCUGUUCAGUGGCUUUUUUUUAUUGGCAAGCAACAUGUAUAUAUAGGAUCUGCUGCUGUGGGUGACUGCAAAAAAUGUUGCAAGUGGUUUGGCUUCUGCUUUUAGACAUAUAUGUAUCAAGAUUGUGUGCGGAAAGUGAUCGUAAGGUUUUCUUUGCAUGUGUUGCUGAAUGGAAUUUUCAUUACACAGCUACUUUAAAUCGACAAAGAUGAUGGGUCAAGAUCUGAGCCAUGCUUCGACACAACUUAUGUUGGGGUGCUAAUGUUUUCAGCUUUGAACAUGGAACAAGCUUAGUUAGAAGUGAUCGUGAACACCGAAGCUCUCAGCAGACAGGUUCAAGAAGGAUUCAAACCCGAACUUCAGAGGGUACGUAGUAUAUAUGCCCCUGCCUGCAUGUGAUUCAGUUCUUUCCCCUUUUUUGUCGUCUAUUUGUUGGAAGUAACUCAAGUAAGGAUACUACUCAUGCUAGCUUAUAUAACUUUUCGGUGUUCUAGCAGUUGUUUCAACAUGUUAAUUCAACAAAGGCUGUGAGGUCGACCUGUAAAACUUCCUCGUAAACUCACCACUCUGUUUUUGACCAAAAAAAAAACUCACCACUCUGUUACUAAAGCAACAUAUGCAAGUCACUCAAGUAAAUUUCUUCUAUCUUUUUAUUUUUUUUCUCAAAACUGAAUUUCUUUUAGAUAUCACCUGAUUCUGUUAUCUGGGUACAUAUGGUUCUAAAUGGAUGUGGAAACAAAGGAUGGAGUGAGCAAGCACGCACGCCAUAGGCAGAGUUGUGUUGCUGUUGUAGCUAUAAAAAGCGGUCUGGUUAGGCAAGUGGUUCUUUCGAUCUCUUGUGUGGGAGAUGCAUGCUGAGUUCCUAGAUCUUAUGCCUAUCAAUAAAACUUCCGCUUGCUGGAAAAGUCGACAAAUGUGUGUUUAAGCCUUUAAGGGUAUGCAAAUAGGUCACAAAUCGAUGUUAUAGACAAUCGACUUUGUGAGACUUGCAAAAAAUAAAGUUAUUUGUGACAUCAGUCUUAUAAACUCUGAAAUAUAUGUAUAAGCUGAAGUGAAUGUGGUAUUUCCGUAUCACCGUAUGCUUUAUUGUAAUGUAAACAAUCUUCAUUAUUUUAUAUGUAUCAUGCGUGGUGGAAUUUUGUUUCCGUAUG